rnacentral:tRNA from 1 species
GCCGAAGUGGCGGAAUAGGCAGACGCGGCAGUCUCAAAAACUGUUGGAGGGAAACCUCUGUGUCGGUUCGAGCCCGACCUUCGGCACCA